AAAAUAACACCUUAUUUUAACUGAUAAGGGUAUUUUUCUUUAAUGGAGAGAAAUCAAUGGCUCGUAUUGCCGGCGUAAACAUUCCGGAU
rfam:Psychrobacter arcticus 273-4, complete genome.